CAGUCACACAUCGGACGCAAGUUUGGAAUUGGAGGAAAACCUGAGAUUGCAGCAAACAUUUGUUGUUCCUCUUCAAACUUGCCUCCCCUGCCACUGGAAUUAGAAGCUGCAAGCAAUGCAACCUGGGAGCGAAGGACCAGGGAUGCCAGCCACAAGCCUUCUCAGCUGACAGAGGUGUUCCAGAUGCCAUCAGACUUUUCCUCAGAGAAGGAAAAUGGGACCACUUAGCUGGCAGAAAUGGAAAAAAAAAUAAUAGAACAAAAGAAACACUAAGAAAUGAAGAGAAGAAAGUAAAAAAAUCAAGAAAAGAUUAUUUUUAAAUUCAUGAAAGAAACAGACUCUAGGAAAAAGAAUAAACUUCACAGAACUAGGCCAGAGUACUAGCCUGAAGGCAAAACCAGACUGGAAAGUCAGUAAGACCCCAAGUAGAGAAUGAAUAUUAUUAACACAAAAUGGUCUAUAUGUAGAUGUUCUCCACCAUCCAGUAAAGUAAUUGAUUUCUAGGGGAGCAGAUACCAGUUUACCUAUGAAGACUGCUCAAGAAGAUCUUGCUUAUAUAAAACCCACGGUCCUGUGACUACAGCUAACUGAAACCUGCCCUAAAACACUUCAUGAGCAAAGCAAUGUACUGGUUACCACUCCAAAUGACAAAUAUACCAGGUCAAACUCCAGAACUAACCAAGUUUCUUGGGAAAUCUCUAAAUCAGAGUUAAUACAUAACUAUAUAUGACUUUUGGAACCAAUCUUAUCUGGACCCUGGGUCAUGAUCCCCAUGGUGCACAAGUACCAAUCUAUGCUGAGUCACCAGAGAAGGGACUGGGGGGAGCAGGAGGUGGGCAGUCAGGCUGACAGUAAAUCAUGGUUCAGCUUCUUGUUAACUAUGGGAUUUUGAGUCAGUUCACCAACCUCUCUGGACCACAGUCUUUCAAUCAGUACAAAGAAGAUACAGCACAGCUACCUGGCAGAGCUGUUGUGAUGACUAUUUGAGAUAACAAAUGUUAAGCACAUAAUAUGUUGUCUAUCCCAGAAUAAAAUACUCAACAAAUGUUACUUUCUUGUCUCUGCAUCCCCUUGGUUAAUAGAUAAUUUAAAAAUCUGUAAAAUCCUACCUGCUUAAAGAGUCUUCUUCAGAAUGCUCUUCCUCUCCUAAAGAAAAAUUACAUUUGAAAUCAACAAUAGAAAUGUAGUGAAUAUUAAAAGAAUGAGAAUCUGAUUGUUUGUUACAAAGCAGUUCUUCGAGAUCACAUCUGAAGACUACACUAGAGAGAACAUCAAUUAUACUAUUGGUAGGCAAUUUGAUGCAUUAAGAACUACUACUUCCCCUCCUUUGUAUUUAUCAAAUGCAAGGAAAGGAGAAUGUAAUUUAUCAAAAUCUCAGACCUACAAGUAAAUUGUUUACAAUUACCAUAAUCCUAACCUAAUCCUAUCAGACUGACAGAAAAUGGUAUCAUUAGCAGAAUCAGCAUAAGCUGACAGUGUCAAAUUUAAAUAACAUGAUUUCUAUGGACACCUGCCACUAGAGGCAAUUAGAAGGAGUAAAUGUAUUUUGUUGUGACACAACAGAGCACUGAAGCUAUUUAGUUGAGACUGUUCCACUGAGGAUGAAACACCCUACCAUAAGGAAGUGAGGCUGAUGAGCACUGUACUUUGCAGCAAAGACUUUCCAGCCACCAGUGGACAAGAGCUCAGGGGAGUUCAGUGCACUUUCUCUAACCUUCUUGGGAAGACACUGGAGAGUUCAUUUAGUUCUAUCCAUUUCCUCUAUUUGUGAUGUAACAAGGUUCAAGUUCAGCUGACAUUUUACCUCCCAUAAUAAGAAAUACUGGAGAGAUCCCUCCUUUAAAACUCUCCCAAGAUCCACCCUGAACUGUACCUCAGUAGCACAAAGAGAAGCUUAAGAAGAAGCUGUGGCAAGUUGCCAGGGGGUAUUACCAGAAAUGCCAAAGAAAACCCAAUUCCUAUCAACUCACUCAUGCAAUCAGAAUGUGUCAUCGAUUGUCCCUCUCCUUGAUGGGAGAAAUCAUUCUUUUACAUUGCAUGUCAAGCAAAACAGUGGGACUUUCUAAUGACAAUCCCCAUGACCGUGAAGGAAGCUUUAAAACAUAAGCCACGUUGGAGAGCACAGGCUGUUUGCAUACUCAUCCCCCACAGGAAGAAGAUCACUGAGGAGCCUAUUGAUGCAACAUCCACAGCAGUCAUGCCCUGGCCUUAAUUCCAAUUGCCAGAUGAGAACACAAGACUGUGAUUCCAUUUGAUAAAGUAUACCCUCUUGAAACUGUCUCCUUGUAGUGCUAGAAUGUCUAUCUGGACCCACCUCAUAGAGCAAGAUGGUCCAAACACUUAGUGCUGUGUAGUACUGCAUCAUAGCAUUUUUCUCAACCAUUCCCAUUAUGUGGCAAAUGUCCACAGAAAUCAUGCUUUUUAUACUUGUAAGGCAUAUGCCAUCAGAUCUUAUGCUAAUGUACAAAAAAAAAAAAGAAAAGAAAACAAAAGGGAGGAUAAAGAACAUCUUAAAUGACUACAUUUAAUUAUCUUGGAAUGUUAAUAAUUUUUUAAAGUUCAAAAAGGCGGCAAAAGAACCUGCUAUUACCAUAUAAUAUAAUCAUAAAUUACCAAGACUUAGUUACCUUGAAAGUUGAAGAUAACUAAAGAUCAAGGUAACAGAAGAUGGGUAUUAUUGCCAAAAUUGAAGUAUAUGAAAGUACAUAAAGCAAGAAAUUCUAAUCACAUACUAAGGCAAGAAAAAAAACUAAUAAAAAUGACUGAAUAGCUCAUCAUGUUUUAUAAAUAUAAACAGGGAUUCAGCAUAACAGAAGUCAAGUGUGGAACAUCCAUAUAAUUAAAAUAAGAAUUUGUACUCUAAUUUUAAAUCAGAGAUUAAUAUGCUUAUUUUAUCUCAAAAUUGUACUGAAAGAUUAAUCACAUAAA